rfam:Microscilla marina ATCC 23134 1099589004074, whole genome shotgun sequence.
GAGCUUGUAGCUCAGUUGGUUAGAGCGCUACACUGAUAAUGUAGAGGUCCGCGGUUCAAAUCCGCGCAGGCUCA